rnacentral:tRNA from 1 species
UGGCCGUCCUCCGCGUCGGCGACCACGAUGGCGCCGUUGAGGAUGGCGCGGACGGCCGACGGCGGGCGGAUCCGGGAGGGUUCCACCCCGGCGACGGCCAUCCA